rnacentral:rRNA from 1 species
GUCUGUGGCCAUGCCACCCUGAGCAAGCCCGAUCCUGUCUGAUCUCGGAAGCUAAGCAGGGUCAGGCCUGGUUAGUACUUGGAUGGGAGACCACCAAGAAAGACUGGGUGCUAUAUGCA